CCUGAAUAUUGAAAGAUAUUAUUUUAGCACAUUUCUUCCUUUUCUCCUACAGCUCUUCUUACUCUGUAACUUUUCUCUUAAAUCUUGGAAAUUUCUGAGCUCCUGGAGGUAUAGAUUUCCAUUUGCUUCUGUUGCUGGUCAAGAGGGAUUAGUUCAGGGAGAAUUGGGUCUUCACUUGAUAAUUUCAGACUAUCUACUAAACAUAGAAGGACCAGUGGAGCUGGAGACUGAGCCACUUUCUCCAUCAGAGUGCUGCUUCUAUUAACAGAGAAACUGAUCUACUAAUUGUCAAGAAGUGUUUGGAUCUGUGGUUCUAAUCAAUAAAAAUUAGUGUACUUUUCUAUCUCA